rnacentral:rRNA from 1 species
AUUGAACGCUGGCGGCAGGCCUAACACAUGCAAGUCGAACGAGUGGCGGACGGGUGAGUAAUGUCUGGGAAACUGCCUGAUGGAGGGGGAUAACUACUGGAAACGGUAGCUAAUACCGCAUACCAUCGGAUGUGCCCAGAUGGGAUUAGCUAGUAGGUGGGGUAACGGCUCACCUAGGCGACGAUCCCUAGCUGGUCUGAGAGGAUGACCAGCCAAACGGGAAAGGAGAAAAGGUCCAGACUCCGACGGGAGGCAGCAGUGGGGAAUAUUGCAAAAUGGGAGCAAGCCUGAUGAAGCCAUGCCGCGUGUAUGAAGAAGGCCGUCGGGUUGUAAAGUACUUUCAGCGGGGAGGCGUUACCCGCAGAAGAAGCACCGGCGAACUCCGUGCCAGCCGCCGCGGUAAUUC